rnacentral:misc_RNA from 1 species
GAUGAAGAACGUAGCGAAAUGCGAUAAGUAAUGUGAAUUGCAGAAUUCAGUGAAUCAUCGAAUCUUUGAACGCACAUUGCGCCCCUUGGUAUCCCGAGGGGCAUGCCUGUUAGCGUCAUUUAGGCCAUCAAGCUAGGCUUGGUAUUGGGUGCGGUCUGAGCGACCCGCCCGUAACCCCAUUAGCGGCAACCGUUCGGUCCCCAGGCGUAGCAGAAAUAUUCGUCUCGAGGCUCUGGCGGUGGCUGUCUUUAAAAUCGGUGGCUCUGAACGUACGAGUCCCAUAGUUUGACCUCGGAUCAGGUAGGGAUACCCGCUGAACUUAAGCAUAUCAAUAAGCGGAGGA